UACGGAGGGGGCUAGCGUUGUUCGGAAUUACUGGGCGUAAAGCGCGCGUAGGCGGAUUGUUAAGUCGGGGGUGAAAUCCCGGGGCUCAACCCCGGAACUGCCUUCGAUACUGGCAAUCUGGAGUUCGAGAGAGGUGAGUGGAAUUCCGAGUGUAGAGGUGAAAUUCGUAGAUAUUCGGAGGAACACCAGUGGCGAAGGCGGCUCACAGGCUCGAUACUGACGCUGAGGUGCGAAAGCGUGGGGAGCAAACAGG
rnacentral:rRNA from 1 species